AAACCACUGAGCUAAAUCCCCGGCCCUCUGGUUGGAAAUUUAAAAAAAAAUUAAAAAGGGCUGUGCAUGUAGCUCAGGGGCUGAGUGCCCCUCAGUUCGAUCCUCAGUGCCUGGCAGGUGGGGAGUAUAUACAUUCAUUUGCUUCACAGGACAGGGUUCAGUGGAUGUGCUCUUCCCUCCUAAAAAAUUCACUUAAACAAUAAUUUAAAAAGCAACAAUACCUCCAAAACAAAACUGGUGCCAAAUAGAGCCAAGAAACCAAAAAGGUAAAACAAUACAAAACCAAAAAAGAAAAAAAGGAGAAAAGGAGAAGGAAAUGAACUCCCUGAGAUAGAGUGGACCGAAUUCAUUAGUUUCAGGUAGCUCAAAGCAAGGACAUGAAAUAAUUAGAGCCCAGCAGAUGAAGGUGCUGUCGGUACUGGGACCUCAUACAGGCAGGACAAAGGCCACUGCUUCUCACAAAGGUCCUAUAGGCCUUUGCCCACAGUGAGCUCCACGCGAGGGAUGCUGCCUGGGAAUGAAAGGCCUCGGUCGUUCCUCUCCAGUGAGUGGAGUCUGGGAGGGGUGUUCCAGGCACUCUCACAAUCACCCUUUAAUAAUACCCUCCAGAGAGCCUUUGAUUCAAGGAACAUACUGAAGAAUAAACAGCCCAUUAAUCUGGGUUUCGGCUGUGCCUGAGUACACAAAGCGCCGAUGAACUAACCCUUGGCUCUGCAGACAUCCCGACUGCACCCCAUCCGUGGCUGCACAGCAGGCGCCACCCCCUCCACCCUGGAAGAGCUUCAAGGUUUGGGGUCCUGAUGUUUCAUCUAAGGAUGCUCAGGCCAAACUCGGGGUGCCAAGCACAGAGACAGCACAUCCUCGUUUGGCCAUUAGAAGGCACAGCUGUGUGGCCAGCUCCACGCAGAGCCGUGUGGCAGGCGACGGGGUGACACACAGAAUCAUCAGUCUGCCCCAUCCUGCACCAAGCUGACAGCCACAGGCCUGGGAAAGGAAGGCCAGGCUUCACUGGCUCCUCGUCUUGGUUACCUUGGUGGCAGGAAGGGCUCCCGCACGGGUGGGCUCUGGGUGCUGUUCUGUGGAAACAUUCCUGGGCAUCUUGCCGAGGUAAAAAUGGACAAAUAAGGUCCCUGAGUUUGCAAGAAAGAAAGGAGAAGACAGAGAAGGAGCUGUUUCACCCUCAGAUCCUUUCACUAGGAGCUCUUUAAAACGACCAGGUGUAGUUUUUAUGAUCACAGCCAUUUGAGGAAGCAUCAAGAUUCUCCUUCCCACCUCACAGGAAAUUGUAGCUGAAGGGGCAGACAGAUGAACUUAAGGUAAUAAACUGGGAGUUCAAUCGCUGCACAGCAUAAUCGAGGCCAGAUCACAAGCUGGGAUCAGCCAUCAGCCGAGGGGCCAGGUGGCUUCUCCGUGUUCUGUGGUCAACGACCUCCUGUGCGGCGUGUGCUUGGUCAUAAAGGAACAGGUGUGACAGGUGGGUAAGUCACUGUGACAGCUACCCACACACAGACAAGCACAUUCUCAAAGCACAUAUCCCUCUGACCUCAAAUCCACACACCAAGGGAAACAGACCUAGUGAGAGUUUUCUUAAAAAUAAUUUCAAAGAGCUGGCUUGAAUUAAAAUUUAAAAAUGAAUUAAAGUCUUUUGAUUCCCUUGUCAGAAAAGGACUUUGUGUUUAGUCUCCUGAUCUGCAGAAGGAUACGCCCCUCACCGGAGGGGGCCAUGGAAAGUUGGCUCACUGCUUGUGACUCCCUGAGGUGGCGUGGGGCGUGAGCAAGAGCCUGGGCUCUGUGGUCUGACACAGCUCUGAGCGCCUCUCCCGCCACCUGUCAGAUGUGCGACCUCGGAAAUCUUACAGCAAAUCAGGCUGCUAAGCCUCAGAAAACACAAGGCUCUUCCAAAUUUCAGAGUACAACAAUGUGAUGGGGUCAGAAGAGAAAAUGCUGUAGAACCUGAUCUGUAUUUCCUGCUGCUCAAUAAGCUUUUAAGGAGGUACCUAGAGCAGCCAGAUUCAUGGAGAAGGACGCAGAAUGAUGGUUACCAGGAGCUGGAGGUGAGUGGGCAGAGGGGGUUCAUGUUCAUGGGUACAGAGGUUCAGCUGUGAGAAAGUUCUGGAGACGGAUGGUGGUGGACAGUGGUGAUG